UGGACGGGUUAGGAUUGUGUAAAGCAAAUUGUGCACAGCAAAGAUGCAUUUCCUGUCUGCUCAUCGGGGCUUGUGGCGACAGGCAGUACUAAUUCAGGUGCCCUGAGGUAGUGGUCUCAACCCACUGCCUUCUGGCCUCUCCACCUGCUGAGACCCAUGUGACCUUCUACAUCCAAACACUCUAGCCUUUCUUAAGGCUUCCUAGGUAGCCUAUCAUUGAAAUGCUGAUGGGGCUCCCUGGAUAGGCUUUUGUGCGUGUGUGUGUGUGUGUGUGUGUGUGUGUGUGUGUGUGUGUGUGUGUGGUUAGCCCGCUGAGCCCCAGGGAGGCUCAUCUGUGUGUGUGUGUGUGUGUGUGUGUGUGUGUGUGUGUGUGUGUGUGUGUGUGUGUGUGGUUAGCCCGCUGAGCCCCAGGGAGGCUCAUCUCUCUGCCUUCCAGCACUGGGAUCAGAAGUGCACACUAGCAGACUCCCCUUUUUACACCAGUGCUGGGGAUUAAACUCAGGUCCUCACACUUGUAAGGUGAGCGUGUAUCCCCUGAGCUCUCUCUCCAGCCCAAGCAAAUUCUUUUUAACAUGGUCUCCGAUGACGUCUGUGUGUUCUCCACCUAUCCAAGUCCAUAGCAGCCUCCUUUCCCACCCCUCAUCAUCUGUCUCCUCGGUCUCAUUGUAGAAUCUCACGGAAUCUGUCUGCGCUGAAAUCACCACCUCCAGGCACAUUUCCACUAACCCCGUGUCUCCUCCCACCAUUCUCAAUACAGCUAUAAAGCUCUUCCAGCAAUUGUAGCAUAGUAACCCCCAAAUGUCUCAAUGACUCCAAGCAGCAGCCCUCUCAGGACCCACCCCUGAUGGAAUAACCAGAGCGGCAUCUCUCCCAGCUAGGUCCUCUGAGGCUUCAAGCCCACUGUUCCCUGAAUCUCCAAACUCCACACCCCAGCAGUCUACAUCCUGUGGUUUCACCCAGACUACUGCCUCCUUCUGCUCCGGCCUCCUCCUGGAUUAUUUGGAUGCUAGGUGACCCGAUCCUAUAGACAUCCCACGUGUUAUCAUAAUCAUCAUUAGUCUGUGGCAUAUAAUCCAUGAUGAAGACCUCUCAUCCCUUAUCUUUAUGUCCAUCCCCCUGGAAUCCUCUUAUUCAAGUUUAACUCUAAAACACAGGCGUUUACCCUGCCACUGGGUCUGGUUGGUCUGCUCUCUUUUUCCAUAUCCCAGCAAAAUACUGAAGUGAACAUCUUUGUGCCCUUCGGUCAGAGCACAGGCAAUUUAGCAGGGAUUGGCAAAUUCACAAGCUGGGGCAAGGCAAGAAGAUCUGUAAGUGAGGUACCAAGGAAGGUAUAUAUUAGAAGGUGGAAGGCCCCGGGGUGACCAGUCUCAACCCUUUUGCAGUUAGACUGGACUAUGUAUGAAUCACCAGUUUCACUUCCUCAGUGAGGUGUGUGCCUGCAGCCAUUCCAGAAAUACUUCUCUAUAGUUCGGUCCCCAGAGGCAUCGGUCAGUCCCUCCGUAUCUGACAGGGUGCAGGGUGACCUGCUUUCCUCUGCGUUGAGUGGAAGCAGCAGCAGCCCUCAGCCAGCCCAGAGGUGUCAGCUUCUCUUCUCACCCAGCCAGCUGCACGGCACCUGAUGUCAGGUGCUGCCAAGGGCUCUGGCUUCCGGUGAGGUAGACUCCCGGGCUGACUUUCUCACUAAAGAAAGAGGAGGCCUGCCCCGCCUCUGCCCAUGACCCACUCAAAGGCAGCCAGCCAGAGUUUGCCAGGGAGCUGCUGCUGGCGACAUCUUGAUCAUCCUAAGCAUUUGCUAAGUGCCAUCAACACAUUGACUUAAGUGGUAGAGGGACGUGGGACUGAUACGGGCAGAAGAGAAGGCGAACGAACGGGAGGAGAAGGCAGAUGGAGGGAGGUGUGAGAACCAGGCACCUGACUAGACUCUGGUUUCCCCUGCCCUCGCCGCACUGUCCUCCGAUCCAGCCACUCAUCCAUGGACACCUUCAGCCCUUUCCCAGCCUCUACACUCUGCCGGAACCAGCCUGCACAGUCUUCUAAGCCAUUAUUUUCUACCAUGGCCUAGGGGACACAAUCCAGAUGGCUUUGUCUAGCCAGGGCUUUCCGUGGCUGGGCCUCCUAUCCGUCGGCUUCCUUUUCCAUUGCUUCCUGAGGGGGGAAAUGUCUCCUGUGCCCAGCCUGGCUUGUCUUUACCGCCACUCCCUCUGUGCACUGAAGCAGCCGGGCAUGGUUAUUUUGCAAAAGGCAACCUUAGAAUUUUUUCUUCUUGGGGGUUUCACCUGUAAUUAUUCACUGGGUACCACUAUUCAUACAAUUAGAAAAAGGUGAACUUUCUCAGAAACCUUACCUGCUUCCCAGCCUACCCCCUGGUUCCUUCCUUAUAGCAAUCUUGAGCAACAGUGAAGCUUCCUGAAUUCUGCAGAUGAGAACCCAAGGCUUAGAAGAGACUGGUUCCUCCUACGCCGGAAGACUCCUGGGCCAGAGAGCUCCAGUCUCUUUUUGUUCCACGGGUCAAGGUCAUCCAUUCCAUUCUACCUCACUGAAGUGAAAACUAUAUGCACUUGGGAACAUGGACCAUCCUCGCUACUGUGUUUGGCAAACGAUGAGCACAUUAGUGUCUUUGUCUGUACAGGCUCCUGAAACAGGAUCCCAUAAACCUGUGGCCUGUAAACAACAGGAAUCUAUUGCUCACAGGAAGCUGGGAAGUUCAAGGUCAGGAUGCCCACAGAUUUGUGUCUAGUGAAGGUCCAUCAUCUGGUCUAUAGAAAUCCAUCCUCUUGCUUUGUUAACAUGACAGAAGACUGUGGGAGCUCUUGGGAGUCUCUUCUGAGAGCACUGAUCCUGUACACGAAGGCUCCCCACUAUGGUCUAAUCACCACCCUAAAGGCCUGCCUCCUGGUGCCACCACAUUUGGCAUCAGGCUCAACACACCAAUUUAUUGCAGGUGGGCUAUAACUAUUCUCUUAAAAAAAAAAAAAGAGCACUAGGUAAGUAAUUAAGCUUUUGUUUUUGUUUUCAUUUACAGAGUUGUUCUCGUGUGUGUGUGUGUGUGUGUGUGUGUGUGUGUGUGUGUGUGUGUGUGUGUUGCCUGUUAUUGAACCCAUGUCUUCACACCAGUGGGGUAGACAAGUACUCUGAACAACGGCCUCACCUACCCCCUCGAAUUCAGUGUAAGGAUGAAAUGGCCAGGUUAAGGAGAGUGCUCAGUUGGGAGAGUGCUCACUUAGCUUGCCCGAAGCCUCAAGUUCAAUCUUCAGCACCAAAAUGGCCUUAGUGGUAUGGGCCGGCAGUCCUAGCACUUGGGAGGUGGGGGCAGGAGGGGCAGAAGUUCAAGGUCAUCCUGGGCUACGAGUUCAAGACCACCCAGGGUUACAGAAGACCCUGUCUCAAAAAGAUACACUUACUUUCCUCUCCCUCCAUUUGAGAUUUUUAGAAACUGUAUAGGAGCGUUUUUGCCUGCAUGUAUGUCUGUGCACCACGUGUGCUGUGUUUGAGGAGGUCAGAGAAGGGUGUCCGAUUCCCUGGAACUGGAGCUACAGAGAACUGCUAGCCACCGAGUGGGUGCUGGGAACUGAGUACACGUCCUCUGGAGGAGCAGGCAGCUCUCUUAACUGCUGAGUUAUCUCUCCAGACCAACGUUGUCCCUUUGACCGACAGCACAAUGCUAUCCUAGAAAGUGUUUGAUGAGCUUGGGAGAACAAAGACCCAGGGUCUCAUGUUUGCUGGGCAAGUGCUGGACCACUGAGCUACAUCUCCGAACCUACUACAGGCAGCCUUGUAAAAAAUGAAAUAAAGAAAAUACCAGACUGCAUCCAACAUUCUGGACCCAAUGCUGACCUCUGGCUGCCAGGUCCAGCUCAGGCCCUUACCACGCGAAGCAUUCUUGCUUUCUCCUCUCAUUUUCUGUUUCCCGGCUGAGCCCCAGCACAGCUGGGAGGGGAGAGGAAGACAAAGUCUUUCCUGCCCGUGCUUCCCCUGACACACCUGGGGUUGCAGACAGGUUGGCUGCAGAAAACCGCAGCAGGAUAGAGAACUUCGAUUUCCUGCUCUCCAAACAGGGAGUCUUCCCACUCCUGCAUCUCAGCACGGACACUAGAAAGGAAAGGAAAGGAAAGGAAAGAGUGAAAUCAACUGAAGGAGCGAGCAGAUUCUCUCUCCCCUACGCAAAAAUACCAUUACCAAGAUGGAGCUACCAAAGGGCUAAGAUUUGGAGACAGGAACCCAACAUGUGCUUCAGUGUUACGUGGGCUUCUUCCUCCUAUGAAACUGGGAACUCACUGGAAAGUCACAUGAUUGUAUAUAUAUAAGGGAUAUAUAUAUAUAUACAGUUGUAUUGCAUGCAAUACCUUCUCCUCACUCCCUGCCCAAGCUCCCGCCUUGCUCUCAGUGAGUUCUGCUGUUUGGGUUUCCCUCAUCUUUUUUUUUGCCUGUACCUAUUUGAAUCCUACCAAUAAGGAUGAUCUCAAAUUCCUUAUCUUCCAGGAAGCCAACCCACAAAGAGCUCUCAGAAUUUAUAAAGUCCUUAUGGCACUUAAGUAUUUAUGGAUAAUAAAAGGAAUCAUUUGUCCCCUUAUGUGGGACCUCAUGAUCGUAAAUGUUUGUCACUGAGUUCAUAGAUGCCUGGAACCUGGGGGACACCUAGCUCAUCCUCUAUUUUUGCCCCAACGCUGAGUAUAUAAUAGGAUCUCAGCACUGAGCUCUGAGCUCUAACAUCAAUCUGACGGGAAACCUGGAUUCAGUUGUUGGGGACCUUUAGAAGGCUUUUAACUCACUUGUCAAAGGAGCCAUGGCAGCUAUCACUUAAGGAAAUCACAGAGAUUAAAUGAAUUGUUUAAUUAAUUGUUUCAUGCAGAGUAAACUUUGAUUACUUUUACUCUAAAGUGAUAAGAUGAAGAGGACAUUAUCUUUUAAUUUGUUUAUUUCUGUUUUUAAAUUUGAUUUUAGAGUUCUCCAUCUCCUUCUGAAUUUUAUUUCAUUUAAGUUUUAAUUUUGCAGUGGCUCCUAAGUCAGAACAAAAGUCUUCAUCCACUUUAUCCUUUUCAUCCUGUCUUGGCCACGCCCUGCAGGUAGCUAAUCUCAUUAGUCUACGCUUUUUUUUUUUUCCUUCUAUUUCUGUUCCUUUUUCCUUGAACAAAUAGGUACAGGCUCUCACUUCUUCCCCUAGGAGGUAUUCUUGAGGUAGUUUCUUUCAAGACUAGUUUUUCAGGAUUGUCUCACCACCACCACCACCACCACCACCAUCACUACCACCACCACCACCAUCACCACCACCACCUCCACUACAUCCUGUGUCUGCUGGCUGGGAGGAGCUGGACAAGGAAGAGCCCAUAACAAAGGGAUUUGUUAUGUGUUACUCCCCACUGGAGUUAGUCAUAGUGACAAGGAAAUGACAUUUUUUCCCCCAGGGCUAGCUCACUUCCAAUUACAGGCCUGAGACCUAAAAGUGUAGUCCUGUGAUCGGUCCUGCAGCCGGAGCUCAAUCCCAGCUACUCAGGAGGAGGCUGGGGCUGAGGAAACAUCCACAACCAAGCUCUGGCCUGCUCAUUCUCCUGGAGGUGGACACAGUGCCAACACACACUGGCUUCUGAAAAGCCACCAGUAAGACCUCUGCCAGCACAUGCAGCAUCCAUGAGACCUGUACCCGUGGCAGGAAAACCACACUCUGUGCCUGUGCUGGCUAGUGUCAUGUCAACUUGACACAAGCUGAAGUCAUCUGAGAGGAGCGAACCUCAAUUAAGAAAAUGUCUCCAUAAGUUCAGGCUGUAGGCAAGCCUGUAGGGCCUUUUCAUAAUUAAUGAUUGAUGAGAGAGGUCCCAGACCGUUGUGGGUGGUGCCAUCCCUAGGCUGGUGGUCCUGGGUUUUAUAAGAAAGCAGGAUGAGCAAGUCAUGUUGAACAAGCCAGUAAGCAGCACCCCUCCAUGGCCUCUGCAUCCAACUCCUGCCUCCAGGUUCCUGCCCUCACUGCUUUUGAUGAUGAUGAACUGUUCUAUGGAACUGUGAGCGAAGCAAACGCUUUCCUCCCCAAGUUGCAUUUGGUCAUGGUGUUUCAUCACAGCAUAGUAACCCUGAGACAGUGCCUCUACCCGUUUUCCCUAUGAGCUUUGAGGAUUGAAGAUGGGCAAUCCUCUGGAUCCUUAUGGUCCCAUUUCAAGGGGUACGUGACAUGUCUAGGGAAGCUCGUUUAAGUUAUAGGGAGUUGGCCAAAGCAGUGGAGUGCCGCCGAUGGAGGUGUUUGUUGGAAAAAAAGCAGGAGCAGGGAAGAUUCUUGCCUUGGGGUCAAGCUGUCCACAGUGGUUCGGAGGCUGUGACUCACUGAGGAAAAGGAGUGCCCUGUGUCCUAGGAGAGGCUGCUUUCUCCAAACAGGAGUUCUUUGGCCGAGGAAGGAAAUGAGGCAAUCUUAAGAUUAAUCAGCGGCCACCAGUCAGACAGAUCUAGAAGUCCAAGCCAUGCCCAGCUACUUCUGCUUAAUAGUCGGCCUUUGCCCCCUAGGUAUCAGGUCACUAAUAUGCCAUCGUGUUCUAGUGAGAAAGGGAAUGGAGCCUCUCCUUGGGCAAGUAGCUCCUUCUCUCUGGGCCUUAACUCUUCUAUUAAAUGAGGAGAUAAUUGGUAACCAGUGAUACAACUCAGCCACGGCCAUCUUUCUUUCUUUCUCUCUUCCUUCCUUCCUUUCUUUUUUGAAUUAAAAAUUGUUGGUUUAAUAUAUUUUGAUCAUAUUCUUUCUCUCCUCAACUCCUCCAAAAUCCUCCCCAAGUUUUAAAAAUAAUUUCAUAGUUUUUUUUUUUUUAAUUGCCUAUAUGUAUAUGUAUGUACCUUGUGUGUGCCUAGUGUCCCAGAGGGCCAGAAGAGGGCAUCAGAUCCCCUGGGACUGGAGUUACAGAUGGGUUGUGGGUUGUAAGCUGCCAUGUGGGUGCUGGGAGUCAAACCUGGGUCCUCUGGAAGAACAGCCAGUGCUCUUAACCGCUGAGCCAUCUCUGCAGCCACCCCCACCCCCCCCAGCCACAUUUCUUGUCACUCAGAGUUAGAAAAACAAUAGGAUUGAGACAUUUCUUCACAAGACUCACUUCAACAUAGCUGCCGCCAUCUUACUCUAAGACAGCUUCACAGUUUAGGGCCCCCACCUGCCCUUUGAAGUUCUUUGAAAUGCCAGCUUGUAGACUUACAGCAACGGAGCCCCUCCCACUGCGGAGCCUCUAGGGAGUCUAUGCCUCAGAGAAACAGAUUCUGAACUGGGAAUGGAGACAGUGAGCAGCCUGCACUGGGCUGAGAGUGAGAUGAGCCUUCAGUCCAGGAUCCUAGAUGGGGGAGCGUGGCAGGAUGCCAGGGCCGGGCAUCUGCCAGGCUUAGGGAGAACUCAAAACAACCUUUUUACCCAACCUCCUUGUGCAUCCUGUUUCUCUGGUGCUGCUGCUGCUGCCAGCAAGUGGGCACCAUGCCCAAGCUUCAGUGGGCAGUGAGGGGGCUAGGUGCCCAUCUGCCCUGCUGGCUAAACCAGUGGCUAGGCAAAAUGGUGCCUGAGCUCAGACUGCCCUCUGCUGGGGAGUUCUAGAAUGAGGCGCGGAUGGAGCCCAGAUGUGAGCCCAGAUGUGGGCUUCUGCUUUCCGGCCACCUCCCAAGGAAGACUUGGACCUCUCCUGGUGGUGUUAGUAUCUAUGGUGGGUCCUCAGACGCAGGCCCAUAGGCUCCAUGACAGCAUGCUUAGUCAACACAGAGCCGCCCCAAGCCGUCUCAGGUGUCACA